GGGGCUGACUGGUUUCGACUUUGUACGUCGAUGCAGGGGAAGCGUGCCGAGGAUGCCGACAGUGUCUCGUUAAUCAGUGUCGGAAACCAACAAGUGCCAACUCUAAGCGCACUGACUUCGCUCUCGCUGCCUAAGCGAUAAGUGAAGUUGGCGGUCCGGGAGCCGUGUUCGUCCCGGGUACCGCCAUCAUUUAGAACACUAGGGAUGGGGAAUGGCCGCAGGGCCCCUCUCCCGAAACCAACAGCGGCUGGAGCCCGUCACACCGACUUGCUCGCGUGAUCGGUGGGGCUUGAGGAAAGGCAGAGCGAGCUGCGCACGGAGAAGCCCUGCUGAAGCGGCGAAGGACCCGGGUUCGAUUCCCGGCAGCUCCAC
rnacentral:tmRNA from 1 species